rnacentral:rRNA from 1 species
GACAGAGGUGCCAAGCGUUAGGCGGAAUCACUGGGCUUAAAGCGUGUGUAGGCGGACUGGUAAGUACCUUGUGAAAUCCCACGGCUUAACCGUGGAACUGCUUGGUAUACUGCUGGUCUUGAGCCACCUAGGGGCGAGCGGAACAAAUGGUGGAGCGGUGAAAUGCGUAGAUAUCGUCUGGAACGCCGAAGGUGAAAACAGCUCGCUGGGGCUGCGCUGACGCUGAGACACGAAAGCCAGGGGAGCGAACGGG